AAGAAUACUAAGAAGAUGGUCCUGUGCAGGAGCAGGACAUGAACACGCAACCAUCUAAUGCCAAGGCUGGAGCAGCGGUGGUGACCUCCAUUGGACCACUCAUACCAGAUCAAUUGGAGGUUUUAAGAGCUCCUCUCCAAGAUAUCGCUGAGAUGUCAUCACCAACAGCUGUUAUUUACGUUUGUACACAAGGACUGCAUUAAUCAGUCCAGGGGAUACAGCGAUGCAGAGUGUGGUCUGAGGAGCCGAACAGCGUGAAAUCCGCAUCCUGAUUUAUCUGACUUGCUGUGGGACCAAAACACAGCAUCAGGCAGUGCUGCUCCAGAGCUGCCACCAGACGAACCCAGCCCUCCGCCGCCGUGACGCUGCGUUCACUGAUGAGCCUGCUGGCCAGCAGAAGGGUGGUAGCACAGCCUCGAUGGACUCCAGCGUGUGAUGGGAGGCAUAGCAAAGCUUGGGUUUCCAUUUCCUAAAGGUUUAUGGAUCUUGAUUACAACCAGCAGGGAAUCCUUCGGUGAUGAAAGAAAAAAAAUAUUCAACCGCCCGUCUCUCCAAUGUGUCUGUUUGAAGACACUUUCUUGAUUUCAAAUUAGAGGUGUGCACGGUCUGGGAGUCAGGCUCCCUGGGAAGAUUCCAGAGUCUUCGAGCCUGUCAGAGCUGUGAGAGCCUGAAUUGGAAGGAACCUGGAAGCUUGAGAAAAGGCCAACUGACCCCAGGCAGGAGAUUCCCCACUGCCAGCAGAAACUUUCAAUGAUCCUCAGCUUCACAUGCUGCUCUGGAAAAAAGCUCUGAAGAAUAUGGAAGAUAUUGUAACGUAUUAUUCCUCUGAGUAAAAGAGUAUUCCUCAUCAGAAAUUCCUAUUCAGGAAUACUUCAAGCACUCCUGUGCCUUCAGGAUACGGUUGACAGCGCUGCAGAUGUGUGACUGUGAUCCUGAUGAGCCGGUGAGAUGAUCUGGAUGCAUACGUUUGCCAAAAACUGACUGGGAGAAUUGGAAUGAAAUGGAGCAAAACUUUGCAGAAUGUGGAUUGAGAAGGCUUUGGCACCUUGGCAUAGAAAAAAAGAAAAAAAAGCAACUAAAACUUGCCUUGUUUCCUGGCUGUUGAUAAAGGGUAGAAGGAAAGCACUGCAGCACUGGAGACCAGAAAGGGAGCAGAGCGUUACAGACUGCGCCUUGGAGGGUUAAAGUCUGUCGGCAGUCUAAGUGUAAGAUGUGUUGAGAGCCACUGGAGCAAUUUCCUUUGCCCCAUUUAUGGAGUGCUUUCCGAGACUCAGGCCUUUGCUGUAUUGCCAGCUCGAGGAGCAGGAAGAUGGGGAUUCCUUCUUGAACGCUGCUGUCAACAAGCACAGGACAGAGCCAGGACCAAACUGCUCUAUCUGCUGACAGCCGGAUCCCCACCCAGGAGCUCUCUGGAGCCACUGACCCCGUCCCACGAGCUACCAGCGUCGUGUGGCUUCUGUGGCACCUUCCAAGGAACAGAGCAUUUAUGUAUCUGGAAGAUAUUCAGGAAGGUGCAACAAGGCUGAUUGAGGGUAUAGAACAGCAUCCACAGGAGGCACAGCUCCGUAGACUGUGAUUCCUCAGCGUGGGAAGAGGCAACUGCGGGACGGAGCGAUAGCAGUCUCUGAAAUCGACUUUAAGUGAGAUCUCAGGAUGGGAACUGGAAAAGAAAAUCACUUGUGAGAAGCAAGCAUUUGAGGAAAAGUUUGUUUUACUGCCUGGUGUGGAAAGGGAAUUCUCCCAUAAAUGUCAUCGGUGCUGAGCCACCUUGGAUGACUGAAAUGCCAAAGGCUUGCAGGGUCCCCCAUCCUCAUCCAUCCACUGCCCUUUCCCUGGGAAGGACAGGCAUGCACACUGGCAGACGGGGCUGCAUCUGAGCAUUUCUGUGCUGUGACCGUCUCUCUGGACCUCUGGAGCGUUAUCACCUCUGCGGACUAAAGCAAGA